GGUCGUAAAAAUAGCUCAGUCGGUAGAGCACAGUGCUAAUAACGCUGGCGGUCCAGGGUUCGAAGCCCCUGUAUGACCA